UACGGGGGGGGCAAGCGUUGUUCGGAAUUACUGGGCGUAAAGGGCUCGUAGGUGGCCAACUAAGUCAGACGUGAAAUCCCUCAGCUUAACUGGGGAACUGCGUCUGAUACUGGAUGGCUUGAGUUUGGGAGAGGGACGCGGAAUUCCAGGUGUAGCGGUGAAAUGCGCAGAUAUCAGGAGGAACACCGGUGGCGAAGGCGGGUCUCUGGGCCGAUACUGACGCUGAGGAGCGAAAGCGUGGGGAGCGAACAGG
rnacentral:rRNA from 1 species